rnacentral:sRNA from 1 species
AGAUUCAUCGCUAGUUUUACUUCAGUUCGAAUCCUUCUGAAAGCUUGGGCUGAAAUCGGCCAAAAUUGUUCAUGUUUUUACUUCACUUCUUUGCACCUAUAUACUGUAUUCCUGUCUCUACUUACAGAGAGGGAACUAUACCUG